CAGUGCAGUGUUCUGCACCGACACGCUUGGCUUCUCAACCACGUAGAAAUCCGCUGUCGGCAGGUUCGACACCACGCUACAAAUCUGGAUAACUGGACGCCAUGUAGGUGCCCUUCAUGAAGCUCUGACAGUCCUCCUGCUGCCACUCUAACACCGUCAUCGCCCGGUCCAUGUGCGUCCACGCUAUCCUGUUCGUCCCACACACAAUGGACACGAUGGAGCUGGCGUCCUGAAGAAUAACGAGGCAGUUUUCUGUGCAAUAGGAACUGCAGGGGGCGGAGCUUGUUGUUAACAUCAGCUGAAUCCUGGAAUAACGUCCGAACUCGGG